rnacentral:rRNA from 1 species
AUUGAACGCUGGCGGAAUGCUUUACACAUGCAAGUCGAACGGCAGCACGGACUUCGGUCUGGUGGCGAGUGGCGAACGGGUGAGUAAUACAUCGGAACGUGCCCAGUCGUGGGGGAUAACGUAGCGAAAGCUACGCUGGUACCGCAUACGAUCUAAGGAUGAAAGCGGGGGAUCGCAAGACCUCGCGCGAUUGGAGCGGCCGAUGGCAGAUUAGGUAGUUGGUAGGGUAAAGGCCUACCAAGCCGACGAUCUGUAGCUGGUCUGAGAGGAUGAUCAGCCACACUGGGACUGAGACACGGCCCAGACUCCUACGGGAGGCAGCAGUGGGGAAUUUUGGACAAUGGGCGCAAGCCUGAUCCAGCCAUUCCGCGUGCAGGAUGAAGGCCUUCGGGUUGUAAACUGCUUUUGUACAGAACGAAAAGGCUCUGGUUAAUACCCGGGGCUCAUGACGGUACUGUAAGAAUAAGCACCGGCUAACUACGUGCCAGCCGCCGCAGUAA